rnacentral:rRNA from 1 species
UACGGAGGGGGCUAGCGUUAUUCGGAAUUAUUGGGCGUAAAGGGCGCGUAGGCGGCCCGGUAAGUCAAAGGUGAAAUCCCUCGGCUCAACUGAGGAACUGCCUUUGAAACUGUCGGGCUUGAGGCCGGGAGGGGGUAGCGGAAUUCCCAGUGUAGCGGUGAAAUGCGUAGAGAUCAGGAGGAACACCGGUGGCGCAGGCGGCCUGCUGGCUCGUCACUGACGCUGAGGCGCGAAAGCGUGGGGAGCGAACGGG